ensembl:lincRNA
AAAUCUUAGGAGUUUAAAUAAAUCCCUGUUGUGUUCAUAGUAGAUCUCAAUUAGCUGUGGCUGAGAACUCUGACAGAGAAAGGUAGGGCAUUUCAUUCCAGUCUACCUCAUAGAUCAGACCUGAUGUUUUGGAGAACAGAACUAGAAGCCCAAACGGCAGGGACUAAUUCAAAAAGCAGUUUUGUUUGAGCCGGAGUUUGAACAGCAGUACUUUACUCCCCAGGUGAUGAAGUUUUACGUCAAGCUAGAAAACUAGCACUUUUCUGCUGUUCCCUGGACCAGGGCAGAGUCCUAACUCCAUGGAAGCUCUGGUAAAAUUGUCUCCAAACAACUUUUAAGAGAUUGAAUUCUUUCUCAAUGAAACCCAAAGCAGAUAGUCAUUAUGAACCAGACAAAAGCAGACUACUUUGUUAACACGGCACUUGGAGCCCCGCAGCUAUGGUGGCCCCAGAGACUGCUGUGCCCAAUCUGAAGUCAAUCUCCUGGACUCAGCAAUGGUACCCGGCAGCAGAUUCACAGAAUGGGUGACCCCAGCAGAAGAGGGAGGAUCUCCUAAGAUGACACCUGGCAGAUGUUUGUCAGAAAGACAGCAGCUCCCAGGCAUUGGCCGCAAAGAAACAAAUGUGGUUUCUCCAGUGCAGCAGGCUCCUUGCUCAUCCAUGACCUUCCAUAGUUUGUGUUCUUGGUCUUGAAAGACCUUUCUACUGUCGCUUCUGGGCAACUGCUGCUUCUCAAAACCGGGACCUGGGACGUCCUGCCCUGCAUCCUUCUCCACCAGACUGGAGCCUGUGCCCCGUGCUGCCCGCCUUGCUGCCAUUCCACUUGGACCUAUCUGACUGCACUGUGACUGUCAUUAACUUGAUUGCUUUUUCUCUAAUGGUGAGAUUCUGAAAGAGACAUCUGUGGUUCAUCUUUAUAUUCUCUUUGCUUAAUAUAGUUUGUUACAUUAUUGGUUCUCAAUGCAUUUUUGUGUUUACACUUGAUCCUUGGAAUCUUUGGAAAAAUGGUUCCAGACCUCCCACAAUGCCAAAAUCUGAAAAUGUUCAAUGUUCAAAUCUCUUAUACAAAAAUGACAUAGUAUUUGUAUAUAAGCUAUGCAGGUUUUUCUAUACUUUAAAUCAUCUCUAGAUUUUACUUAUAUGACCUAAUACAAGAUAAACAAUAUGUAAAUAGCUGCCAUAGUGUUAGGAAAUAGUGACAACAGGAAAAGCCUAUACAUGUUCAGUACAGAUGCAAUUUUUUCUCAGAACAUUUCUUAUCCAAAAUUGAUGGAUUCUCACAUGCAGAACCCAAGAACACAGAGAAUCAACUAUACUCAUAUAAGUUAUUUUGACUAAGGCUAAAAUGCUGAAGUUAUUUCUAUCACUCUAACUUCCUUAAUAAUUAAAUAGAAUAGCCAAAGUAAUUGAUCAACUAUGCCCAUUGCUUACUCUCUACAUUGGAAGCAUAAUUCCAAUUAUUUUUUUUUCUUUUUUUUUUUUAUUUUAAAGAAUAAAAGAAGGAUAACAUAAUAAUAGGGGGGACUUAGCAAAUUACAGACAAAAUGGUAGGAAAUCAUCAAUGGUUAUCAUUUUACAUAUUAUUGUCUACAAAAUAGUUUCUCAAGAAAACAAAUAGACAAAUAAUAGUGAGUUACAGACAAAAGAGGUAGGAGAUUAUCAAGAGUUGUUGUACUAUACUUUGGUAUCUUCAAAGUGGCUUCUAAAGAAAAUAUAUAGAGCUAUACAUGAGUGACCUACUGAAAAAUCAUUAACUCUUCUCAAUGGUUGUUGUAGGAAACACAUAAUAAUAAACAUACAUCCAUUUAUGAAAUAGGAUAGGAACAUUACAAACUUUACACAGUUAUGGAUAGAUUAGUAGGAAAAUAUCAAUGGCUGCGGUAAUACGUGGUGGUAUCUUCAGAGUGGUUUCUCAGGAAGACAGAGAUAUGCAAGAGGGACCUAUUAAGGAGUUACAGCCUAAGUGUUGUCAAAAAUAGCAUAUUACCUCCUCACCAGUGACUCCUUUCACUGAGGUAUGAUGGCUGGAAGGAAGGCCAGGAUUGAAAAGAAGGACCGAGAGACUUGCACCUGUGUCUAGCAACAGGCUGUUUUCUUGUAAUUCCAAUUAUUUUAAUAGCCUCCUUACUGGAUUUAAGCUUUAUACCUUCAAAUUCAUCUUGCAUGUUUCAGAUUUUCAUUCCUCUCAAUAGCCACUUUGAUAGGUCAUUCCACUGUACAAAAACAUUAAAGGAGACACAAAAUUCUCAUAGAUUAUCAUGUGAUAAUAAAAAGGUACCAUUCACUUUGUAAAAUCAUGUUGCUACAUCUCGUAAAUGUUGAUAUUCACAUAUCCCUUGACCAGGCAAUCCCACUGCUGGGUAGAUCAAUUAAAGGAAUAGCUGAAGGAAUACCUGUAUUGUAGACAAAAGUACAAGAAUGCUUCUUGGAACACUUUUGUAAUGUAAAAAACUCAACUAAUUGAACGUUGUUCAGUAGAAUACAGAAUGAACAGCGGUAUAGUCACAAAAUGAUGUAUCGGAUGGUUGUAAAAACAUGCAGUUAUACAGAUGCAAACUUGUCUUAGAAAAGUAAUGUAUUAGAAAACCAGUUUUCAAAUGCAUCCAAAGAGCAUAACAUCAUUCAUCAUUUUAAUAAAGCUCAAGACAAGCAAAAUGGCUUGGUUGUACAUACAAGGAUACUAAAGCAAUCGACGAAAAGAGGUAAGAAAAUGAUAGCACAAUUUACAGGCUACUGCUUGCUUUUGAGGAGGGGCAGGAGCAGAGCAGCAAAUGAUGCAAACAAUGCAUGCAAUUAAAGGAGGAUAAUAGGAUCCCUGGUGUAUAUUAUUAUGUGUAAUGUUUGACUGCGUUAACUCGGGAAGUUUAGCUUAACAAAGUCAGCUCAG